rnacentral:piRNA from 1 species
UACAAUUAUUACAAGACGCGU